rnacentral:rRNA from 1 species
CCUACGGGAGGCAGCAGUGGGGAAUUUUGGACAAUGGGCGAAAGCCUGAUCCAGCCAUUCCGCGUGCAGGAUGAAGGCCUUCGGGUUGUAAACUGCUUUUGUACGGAACGAAAAGGCUCUUUCUAAUACAGAGGGCUCAUGACGGUACCGUAAGAAUAAGCACCGGCUAACUACGUGCCAGCAGCCGCGGUAAUACGUAGGGUGCAAGCGUUAAUCGGAAUUACUGGGCGUAAAGCGUGCGCAGGCGGUUUUGUAAGACAGAGGUGAAAUCCCCGGGCUC